rnacentral:rRNA from 1 species
GAUGAACGCUGGCGGCGUGCCUAAUACAUGCCAGUCGAGCGAACAGACGAGGAGCUUUCUCCUCUGACGUUAGCGGCGGACGGGUGAGUAACACGUGGAUAACCUACCUAUAAGACUGGGGUAACUUCGGGAAACCGGAGCUAAUACCGGAUAAUAUAUUGAACCGCAUGGUGCAAUAGUGAAAGACGGCUUUGCUGUCACUUAUAGAUGGAUCCGCGCCGGAUUAGCUAGUUGGUAAGGUAACGGCUUACCAAGGCGACGAUGCGUAGCCGACCUGAGAGGAUGAUCAGCCACACUGGAACUGAGACACGGUCCAGACUCCUACGGGAGGCAGCAGUGGGGAAUCUUGCGCAAUGGGCGAAAGCCUGAUCGAGCAACGCCGCGUGCGUGAUGAAGGUCUUCGGGUCGUAAACCUCUGUUGUUAGGGAAGAACAGAUGUGUAAGUAACUAUGCACGUCUUGACGGUACCUAAACAAAAAGCCACGGCUAACUACGUG